GGACGCUGGCCGCCGGCGGCCUUUGGCCGACGGAGGAAAGUCCGGACUCCAUAGGGCAGGGCGUCCACGCCGGGAGGUGUGGAAUUCCGCUGGCAAACGGCGGGAAAGGAAAGUGCCACAGAAACCAGACCGCCGACGGACGCGAGUCCGCCGGCAAGGGUGAAACGGCGGUGCAAGAGACCACCGUGCGGAUGCCGAGAGGUGCCGCGCAAGGCAAACCCCGCCCGGAGCAAGAUCAAAUAGGAGAUGGAAAGGGGCGGCCCGUCCCGCGCGGCUCCGGCUGCGGCCGUCUCGGGUUGAUCGCUCAGACAAAUGGCCAGGCGCGCCUCGAAAGGGGCGCGUGACAGAAUCCGGCUUAUUCGCCCGGU
rnacentral:RNase_P_RNA from 1 species